CGCGUAGGUGGUUUGUUAAGUUGGAUGUGAAAGCCCCGGGCUCAACCUGGGAACUGCGUUUUGAACUGGGUAACUAGAGUGUGUCAGAGGGGGGUAGGAUUCCACGUGUAGCAGUGAAAUGCGUAGAGAUGUGGAGGAAUACCGAUGGCGAAGGCAGCCCCCUGGGAUAACACUGACGUUCAUGCUCGAAAGCGUGGGUAGCAAACA
rnacentral:rRNA from 1 species